rnacentral:rRNA from 1 species
UACGUAGGGGGGCGAGCGUUUGUCCGGAUUUAUUGGGCGUAAAGCGCGUGUAGGCGGCUUUGCAAGUCGGGUGUGAAAGCCCUCGGCUCAACUGAGGAAGUGCGCCCGAAACUGCAGAGCUUGAGUGCCGGAGAGGGUGGCGGAAUUCCCCAAGUAGAGGUGAAAUUCGUAGAUAUGGGGAGGAACACCGGUGGCGAAGGCGGCCACCUGGACGGUAACUGACGCUGAGACGCGAAAGCGUGGGGAGCAAACAGG